UACGUAGGGUGCGAGCGUUGUCCGGAAUUACUGGGCGUAAAGAGCUCGUAGGUGGUUUGUCGCGUUGUUCGUGAAAACCUGAGGCUUAACCUUGGGCGUGCGGGCGAUACGGGCAGACUGGAGUACUGCAGGGGAGACUGGAAUUCCUGGUGUAGCGGUGAAAUGCGCAGAUAUCAGGAGGAACACCGGUGGCGAAGGCGGGUCUCUGGGCCGAUACUGACGUUGAGGAGCGAAAGCGUGGGGAGCGAACAGG
rnacentral:rRNA from 1 species